rnacentral:rRNA from 1 species
AUUGAACGCUGGCGGCAGGCCUAACACAUGCAAGUCGAGCGAGCGGCGGACGGGUGAGUAAUGUCUGGGGACCUGCCUGAUAGAGGGGGCUAACUACUGGAAACGGUGGCUAAUACCGCAUACUAUCGGAUUCACCCUAAGGGGAUUAGCUAGUAGGUGUGUUAAAGGCUCACCUGGGCGACGCUCUCUAGCUGGUCGGAGAGGAUGAUCAGCCACACGGGGACUGAGACACGGCCCAGACUCCUACGGGAGGCAUCAGUGGGGAAUAUGGCCCAAUGGGCGCAAGCCUGAUGCAGCCAUGCCGCGUGUAUGAAGAAGGCCUUAGGGUUGUAAAGUACUUUCAGCGGGGAGGCGUUACCCGCAGAAGAAGCACCGGCUAACUCCGUGCCAGCAGCCGCGGUAAUUC